UACGUAGGGUCCGAGCGUUGUCCGGAAUUACUGGGCGUAAAGAGCUCGUAGGUGGUUUGUCGCGUUGUUCGUGAAAACUCACAGCUUAACUGUGGGCGUGCGGGCGAUACGGGCAGACUUGAGUACUGCAGGGGAGACUGGAAUUCCUGGUGUAGCGGUGGAAUGCGCAGAUAUCAGGAGGAACACCGGUGGCGAAGGCGGGUCUCUGGGCAGUAACUGACGCUGAGGAGCGAAAAGCGUGGGGAGCGAACAGG
rnacentral:rRNA from 1 species